rnacentral:rRNA from 1 species
CACGUAGGGCGCAAGCGUUGUCCGGAAUUAUUGGGCGUAAAGAGCUCGUAGGUGGUUUGUUACGUCUGCUGUGAAAUCCUAGGGCUUAACCCUGGGCUUGCAGUGGAUACGGGCAGACUAGAGGUAGGUAGGGGAGAAUGGAAUUCCUGGUGUAGCGGUGAAAUGCGCAGAUAUCAGGAGGAACACCGGUGGCGAAGGCAGCAAACUGGUCGUCAACUGACGCUGAGAAGCGAAAGCAUGGGGAGCGAACAGG